UUAAUAAUUAUUUAUUAAUAAUUUUUUUUUAUAUAUUAAAAUAUUUAAAAUAAUAAUAAAAUUUAAAAGUUUAAGUAUUAUUUAAAGAAAAAAUAAUUUUAAUAAUAGUUUAUUAGUAUUGUGAAAUAAAAUUGAAAUAUAAUGAAAAAUUUUUAUUUUAAAAGAAAAUUUAAUUUAUUGUAUCUUGUGUAUCAGAGUAUAUUAAAUAAAAAAUAUUUAUAUAUUUUUCUCGAUUUUAAAAGAUUUAAUAAAUUAUAAAUGUUAAUGUGAUAAAAUUAUAUUUAAUAAUUUAUUAGAAAUGAAAUGUUAUUCGUUUUUAAAGGUAUCUAGUUUUUUAAGAAAUAAGUUUAAUUUAAUAUUCAAAAUUUACUUAUUUAUUUAUUUUAAUUAAGUAAUUUUUGGAAUUUAAUAUUUUAUGGGAUAAGCUAUAAAAUAAAUUUUUAUAAAUAAUAAAUAAUAUAUAAAAUUUAAUAUGUUUAAAAGUAUCAAUUUUUAUUAAGUUUGUUAUAAAUUAAUUUUUUUAUUAAAUUAUUUAUUAUAUUUUAAUUUUUUUAUUAAAAUAUUUAUUUUAAUAUUAAAAAUAAAGUAAUAAUGAUAUAAUUAGUAUAUAAAUUUUGUAUAAAUAUAUUUUAAAUUGAAAAGUUUAUGUAAAGAAUUCGGCAAAAAUAAUGUUCGCCUGUUUAACAAAAACAUGUCUUUUAGAAAUUAAUUUAAAGUCUGACCUGCCCACUGAAUUUUUUUAAAUGGCCGCAGUAUAUUAACUGUGCAAAGGUAGCAUAAUCAUUAGUCUUUUAAUUGAAGGCUGGAAUGAAUGGUUGGACGAAAUAUUAACUGUUUCAUUUAAAUUUUUAAUAGAAUUUUAUUUUUUAGUCAAAAAGCUAAAAUAAAUUUAAAAGACGAGAAGACCCUAUGAAUCUUUAUAUUUAUUAAUAUUUUAAUUUUAUAGAUAAAUUUAAUUAUAAUAUUAAUUAUAUAUUUUAUUGGGGUGAUAUUAAAAUUUAAAUAACUUUUAAAAUUUAAAUCAUUAAUUUAUGAAUAAAUGAUCCAUUUUUAAUGAUUAAAAAUUUAAGUUACUCUAGGGAUAACAGCGUAAUUUUUUUGGAGAGUUCAUAUCGAUAAAAAAGAUUGCGACCUCGAUGUUGGAUUAAGAAAUAGUUUUAGGUGUAGCCGUUUAAAUUUAAAGUCUGUUCGACUUUUAAAAUCUUACAUGAUCUGAGUUCAAACCGGCGUAAGCCAGGUUGGUUUCUAUCUUUAAUAAAUUAAUAUAUUUUAGUACGAAAGGAUUGAAUAUAUAAAUAAUAAUAUUUUUAAGUUAAGAAUAUAAAUAAUGUUGAUUAAAA
rnacentral:rRNA from 1 species